CAUUAUGAAGCUAAUAUAGCAUUAACCUUUUAAGUUAAAGAUUAGGAGCCUAAGCCUCCUCAUAAUGAC
rnacentral:tRNA from 1 species